rnacentral:rRNA from 1 species
UACAGAGGCCCCAAGCGUUACUGAGAAUCACUGGGCUUAAAGGGUGCGUAGGCGGUCCGUUGAGUUCGUUGUGAAAUCCCUGGGCUCAACCCAGGAAAUGCUUCGAAUACUGGCGGACUUGAGGCUAGUAGGGGUUACUGGAACUGACGGUGGAGCGGUGAAAUGCGUAGAUAUCGUCAGGAACGCCAAUGGUGAAGACAGGUGACUGGGCUAGUUCUGACACUGAGGCACGAAAGCGUGGGGAGCAAACGGG